rnacentral:lncRNA from 1 species
CUUAGACCAAAAUCUUAAUGUUUAUACAGUUACAGUGAGGCAAAAAUUGUCCUAUUCUAGGAAAAUAGUCUGGAAAAGGGGUCAUUGAAACAUUUAUAAGGACUUUUUACUGUUCUCAAUGUCUAACAUAGAAUGACAUCAUGCUACAGUCAUUUCUUCGGAGAGUUUCAAACUGAGCCCAUUGGGCAGAGUUUAAAAUGUGACCUUUGGAGUUAG